rnacentral:misc_RNA from 1 species
GAGAGAUGGGUUCCUCUUUGGAGAUGAUCCAAUGGUUAAUUCAGUGACUUGUCAAAAGUGCUAGUCCAAUGACUAGAAUAAUUUGGAGGAAAACUUCUUCCAGAGAAAAGAAAAGAGUAAAGCCUUUUUUACCAUCUUAGGGGUUUUUCCUCCCCCCCUGUGAACCUUGGCUUUUUCUAUUUAUACUUUUAAGGAGGUAUGAGACUUGAAACAAUUGGCUUUCUUUGGUAGGAGUCAUGUCUUUCACUGGUGGCCUAUAUCUUAGCUAUCUAAGGAGUUGUCAAAAUCUA